AGAAUUCUUUAGAAAGAAACCAAGGCAGUAAGGUCUCUUAAUUGCACCAGGCCAACAGCGAACGAAGAUGCAAGUUCCUUUGAGUUUCGCUGAGUAGUACGUAUGCAGUAGGAAACGUCCCCGGCGCUUCUACCGUGCUCUGGACAGUAAAACCGACAGGAACUGCCAUGGGGACUUGUG